AGAGUUUGAUCCUGGCUCAGGACGAACGCUGGCGGCGUGCCUAAUACAUGCAAGUCGAGCGCGGGAAGCUUGCGGAAUCCUUCGGGAGGAAGUGAGCGGACCGAGCGGCGGACGGGUGAGUAACACGUGGGCAACCUGCCCGUAAGACGGGGAUAACCCCGGGAAACCGGGGCUAAUACCGGAUAGGUGACCUUUCUGCAUGGAGGGGUCAUGAAAGGCGGCGGAAGCCGUCGCUUACGGAGGGGCCCGCGGCGCAUUAGCUAGUUGGUGAGGGAAGGGCUCACCAAGGCGACGAUGCGUAGCCGGCCUGAGAGGGUGAACGGCCACACUGGGACUGAGACACGGCCCAGACUCCUACGGGAGGCAGCAGUAGGGAAUCUUCCGCAAUGGACGGAAGUCUGACGGAGCAACGCCGCGUGAGUGAGGAAGGCCUUCGGGUCGUAAAGCUCUGUUGUUCGUGAAGAAGGGGUUGGCCAGGAAAUGGGCCGACAUUGACGGUAGCGAACCAGAAAGCCCCGGCUAACUACGUGCCAGCAGCCGCGGUAACACGUAGGGGGCAAGCGUUGUCCGGAAUGAUUGGGCGUAAAGGGCGCGCAGGCGGCCUCUUAAGUCUGAUGUGAAAGCCCACGGCUCAACCGUGGAGGGACAUUGGAAACUGGGGGGCUUGAGUGCAGGAGAGGGGAGUGGAAUUCCACGUGUAGCGGUGAAAUGCGUAGAGAUGUGGAGGAACACCAGUGGCGAAGGCGGCUCUCUGGCCUGUGACUGACGCUGAGGCGCGAAAGCGUGGGGAGCGAACAGGAUUAGAUACCCUGGUAGUCCACGCCGUAAACGAUGAGUGCUAGGUGUUAGGGGGGAGCACCCCUUAGUGCUGAAGUCAACACAUUAAGCACUCCGCCUGGGGAGUACGACCGCAAGGUUGAAACUCAAAGGAAUUGACGGGGGCCCGCACAAGCAGUGGAGCAUGUGGUUUAAUUCGAAGCAACGCGAAGAACCUUACCAGGUCUUGACAUCCCUCUGAUGGGUUCAGAGAUGGACCGUUCCUUCGGGACAGAGGAGACAGGUGGUGCAUGGUUGUCGUCAGCUCGUGUCGUGAGAUGUUGGGUUAAGUCCCGCAACGAGCGCAACCCUUGACCUUUGUUGCCAGCAUUAAGUUGGGCACUCAGAGGUGACUGCCGGUGACAAACCGGAGGAAGGUGGGGAUGACGUCAAAUCAUCAUGCCCCUGAUGACCUGGGCGACACACGUGCUACAAUGGGCGGUACAGAGGGCAGCGAAGCCGCGAGGCGGAGCGAAUCCCAGAAAGCCGCUCUCAGUUCGGAUUGCAGGCUGCAACUCGCCUGCAUGAAGGAGGAAUUGCUAGUAAUCGCGGAUCAGCAUGCCGCGGUGAAUCCGUUCCCGGGCCUUGUACACACCGCCCGUCACACCACGAGAGUCUGUAACACCCGAAGUCGGUGAGGCAACCGGAAGGAGCCAGCCGCC
rnacentral:rRNA from 3 species